rnacentral:lncRNA from 1 species
UCAACAAAACAGUGAAUUAGUUUUGGGUUUGUUUAUGAGUCAUAAGACACCAUCAAAUUACACAAAUCUUUCAGGUCCUAUAAACUACGAUAGUUUUUCAAAAGUGUGGAAACAAAAUUGCGCUGAGAUGAAAGAUUACAUAAUAAUAUAUGUUCUGUAAAAUCUUACAACAUUUUAGUCAUGUUCUUUAAUGUAGAACAUUUCAGGUCCUAUAAAAUCGGAUAAUAUUACUAGAAUGUGAACCCCAAAAUUACUCUGAGAUUGAAGAUUGUAAAAAUAUGUUCUAUAAAAUCUUACAACGGUCUAUUCAUUCUAGUUAAUCUUUAAUGCAUAAAUUAAGAACCCUACAACAUUUCGGAUCCUAUUAAAUUUCAUAAAUUUUCAAGUAAAUUCGGCUCAUAUAUAAACAAAUUAUUGAAAAACUCUCAUUCUGAAUUAUUCCUUAAAUCCAUUCAAAUGUCUAAUCUUCAAAACCACUUCACAGGAACCCACGAAACUCUUCAUAAUUCGAAAAAGAAGACAGAAACUCACAAGUAAAGCUUCCCUUUCCGGCCAGCCAUAGUGAUAAACGACGAUGAAGAGAGAGACGAAGUACUUGAAGAUUUCUUGCACGAGCCAGAUAUUAAUAUUUGCUCUAAGAAAAAAACAAAAAUAGCCUGAAGAAAAAUGGCCAAGUCCACUCGUAGCCUUUAUAUUACUUCAAAAACCCCUAAUUAGUGCGAGUCGUGCGACUAAACUAAUGGAACCAUCAGCCAAAAUUACGUACGUUAAGGCUGAUGUAGCGGGUAAUAUGAGUAAAUAUACAAGUAAAGAGGGUAACUUUGUUAAUUUUCCUUACUCAAAACGGCUAAAUCUUGUAGGCGAAGAAAGUUUCCAAAUGAUAUGAUAGUAAGUAAAUUAAAUUUAAAUAUGGAUAUGCGUUUUAGAGAUCUAGAUUAAAUAUUCGAUUGGGGUUAGUUACUAUACUUUAGACCUCACAUAUUCUCAGUAUGUUGAUGCACAUUGUAAGCAUAUCAAUUUUAUAAAUAUAUUUCCUUGCACAAUAUAUCUUUCCAGAAAAAAAAAUAUUCACCUGGUUCAGAUUAGCCUGGUUUGACUUUUACAUGGAGAUUGGUCUACAUUAUUCACAAACUAUGGCAUCAUCUUCAAUCAAUGCUUUCGAUGGAUCACUUGAUGAAGUCUUGGAUCAAAAAUUCUACAAUAUGUACAAUGAUAUUCUUGAUCGUCAUGCAGCAACAAAGCCAAAGAAGAAACAAACAUAUAUUGAAAAAGAACGCGAACAAAGCCACAACCGCUUAUGGAAUGACUAUUUCAGUGAAAAUGCAAUAUGUGUACUAUUAAAAAAGAAGAAGAUGCAAUAUGUCCUACCACUUGGAAAAGACAAUAUAAAUGUGGUUCAGGAAAACCGAUAAUCGUCUUAGAAGCUAUAGCAUCACAAGAUCUUUGAAUAUGACACGUGUUUUUUGGACUUCCAGGUACCUUAAACGAUAUCAAUGUUCUUGAUCGCUCACCUGUUUUUGAUGAUAUAUUACAAGGCUGAGCUCUAAAAGUGAAUUAAUUAGUCAACGGACACGAAUAUCAUUUGGCUUACUACCUCACAGACGGUAUUUAUCCGAAAUGGGCAACUUUUAUCCAAUCUAUUCAAAUUCCUUCGGACCUUGAAAUAGAUUGGAUAAAAGUUUCCCAUUUUUGAUAAAUACCGUCUGUGAGGUAGUACGCCAAAUGAUAUUCGUGUCCGUUGACCAAGUAAUUUACUUUUAGAGCUCGACUUUAUAUCAUCAAAAAUAGGUGAGUGAUCAAGAACAUUAAUAUCGUUUAAGGUACCUGGAGAUCCAAAAGAUGCAUGUUAUAGAUUUCAUCAAAACUUUCAUCAAGUGAUCCAUCGAAAGUAUUGUUUGAAGAUGAUACCAUAGUUUAUGAUUUUUUUUGUUUGUUUGAUGGGGAAACAAAAAAAGAGCUGGAGUUUUGUAGAGAAAUUAAAGAAGAUAAGAGUUGGAGUUUUUGGAUAGAGAUAUAAAAGAGAAGAAGAGUUUGAGUUUUUUUCUUGAGAAAUAUAAGAACACUUUCUAAACACAUAUAUAUAGGAAAAAAAUGAUCGAUAUCUUUACAACACAUGUGGUUUACAAUACUCACAAUAAAUUUUGUGGUUUACAAUCCUCAAAAAAUUUGUGUUUUACAAUUCUACAAAACAACAAAAGUAGACCCUCCACAAAAAAAGCUAUACCCGUGACCUCCAAAACAAAAACAAAACAAAACAAAACCAACAUGGAACCAAAAACAAAACGUGUGAUCUAUAUUGUUCUGUGUAUUCUAUCUUUGGCCUUCACCUCUUUUUGUGCCUCCAUCUGGUCCUUGAUUAGCUAAUACAAAAAGAAAACAAAAUCCAUAUCAAAAAUAUGACAGAUUGGUAACACUAGUAGUCUAGUACUAACCAGUAACCACUAUGGCACUAUCCACUAUGCUAUGAUGUUAUAUUUUUCCAAUGUAUGGUUCAACUUUGGGAGGAUAGAUAUUAUCAUUUUCAGUAUAUAGUAGUGUCUAUCUUUCUACCAUAGAAAUAUAUAUGUAAAAGGGCAUAUGGUGGUCACAUGUCUUCUUUUUUGUCCAUUAAUAGCCAACUGAUAAAUCGAAUGUCAUUCUUUGCAACCAUUGUAAAUUGGAUAAAAGUUUAACUUAUUAAACUCUUACAAAGUUAAGAUCCAAACAUAUAAAUAAUAAUAGAUAAUACAAUUUUUUAAAAAAUAUAAAACAUCUACAGCUGAAAAGAAAACAAAGAAAAUUUUAAUCGUUUGAAGUAAAAUAAAAAGUGUGGAAAAAGUGAAGUGAAUUUGUUUAUCAGAUUUACCAUGCAUUGAUUAAAAAACUAAUAUUAGAAGGAGAAUAGCACAAUCGAUUUCUAUUUACAAUAUAUAUAGAAAAAAAGUACAACGGUCUAAUAAUUACGACAAAUCUUACAUUCCUAUUGUAUUAUACUUCCUUAUCUAUCACUAAGCACCCUUCAUUUGCUUCUUCGCUAAGUGGCUUGUUUCUUGAAUCAGGUCCAACGGUUUAAAUGAACCGUCAAAACAAACCAUUUGCUUGAUCAAUGAGACAAUGAUCUCCAAAAUAGUUGAAUAAAGCUGAAACUAAACCAAUCAAACCCAUAUAUUCUAUAUGCUCUACACAAGUGCAAAAACAUUUGCCAUAAUAUGCUUUGUUUUCACAUAAAGCCAAAGUCAUUCGUCUGUGGCGCCUCAAUCCAAAUGGUCUUAGUAAGACAUAGCUCUUCCACUUCAGACCGCUCAUAUGCGCGGGCAGUAGUACCUCUCUUUAUCAAACGAGGAAUACACAUAACAUCUUCUAUCAAAUGGAACCUUAGAGAAUUGCUCAUUGUUUCUUAUACACAUAACUUCCUCGCAAAGAUUCUCAAGCCUAAAGGUGUAAUGGAAGUUCAGAGAAAGUUGAAUCCUCUGUGUUUGCACUUUGAAAAUCAAGUAGUUAAAUACUUUAACUGAUCCAAAAGAAAGAAAAAAUAGGGAAAGAGAGAGAGAGAGUUAAGUGCUAAGAUAAAUGAGGUGAUCUAAACCUUCGCAUAGCUUCAUAUGUAAAACCUUUAUUAGGUGGCCUAAUCCAAAGGCCGGCCGGCGAGCUCUAACCGGACCUAGUGAAUUUCAUUAGGUCAUGGGCUUACGCAGAUUCGCUGGGGGUGUGGGGGAACCCAUACGGCAGGGUUUCCUAAUGAGCUCAAGUGGGUUUGGAGGUCAAGUUUUUUGAGGAUAUAAAUACCGGAUUUUAUAGAUUGUAAUUAAAUAUAUUCACACCAUUAAUAAUAAAACAUUAAACGGAUUUCUCUCUCUAAGUUAUUCACUUUCUUCUAGUUUGAUUUGAGUUAAUUCACAACAGACAUAGAUCCUCCUGUUCUUGCCACUGCUUACGCGGAUAGUACCUCUCUUCAUCAAACAAAUACGAUACGCAACGCUUGCAAUUGAAACAAAGCCUUGGGAAGUAAACACUAUUCCUCAUCCAUGGGAGAUUAACUCUCAUCUCGGAAGAAUAAAGACUCGUGAAGCCAUCAAGCCAUCAAGCGUAGUGCUAUUGAUCUCCUCCCAAUCAAAGGAGUCAUGAUCUAGUUUAUACACAAUCGGUUUCUCACCUCCGCAUGUAAACAUCUUGAAGAACACUCCUUUCCGCACAGUCAAGUAAAAUCUUUUCUUCUUCCGCUCAUACUGGUAGCUAAAUCUACCUGAGGAAGGACAUGGGGUGAUUUCGUAUAACUAAAACUCCAUUCUAGAGAAGACGGUUCAAAGAAAUAUAAGCUUCCUGUAUUAUCAAGGCAAUAGAAGCGACGGUUUGCAUAGACAACAUUGUUGUUCUUAAGUGAAUCAAAAGAAAGAUAGAAAUGUAAAUACUCAGUAACCCACUCGGUUGCUUCGGGGCGGCAAGUGCUCGUAGUGAUGGUACUCAAGAACGCUAGCAGAACACAAGUACCUGAUGUAGGUGCACAAGAGAAAGCGAUUGCAUCAUAUGAUAACUCAAGCUUUGGUAAGUUUAUGAGCUUCAGAGUAAACGGAUUGAAGAAAAUAUGGCGUGAAGUGGUUUUGCGCAUAAGUAACCAUGCGUCCCUUGAGUAACACACUGUGGAUUUGGCUAGCUCGGGUAGAUCCAGUGUGUACAUCUUCUGUUGCAAAGGAUCGUAGAGUUCGAACAAGUUGCCACGUUUAGGUAAGUACAUAAGCCAAGGAGGCUUGUCUACCAAGCGGAUAUAGAGACCUGCUUCACGCCAUGUUUUGCAGACAGCGGAGGCUCGAAUGUUAUCUUUUAAGAGAAGUUGAGAUAUUAUUACUUCCAAGUGGCAUAGUGGAAGGUCAGAAAAACUUGGCUUUUCUGCUUCUGUGCUCUGUUUCUUGCUCUUGAAGAAACCGUUUCCUGCAGCAUCUACGUUUGGCCUGUGAAAGAGUUUGGGUCAACAAAACAGUGAAUUAGUUUUGGGUUUGGUUAUGAGUCAUAAGACAUCAUCAAAUUACACAAAUCUUUCAGGUCCUAUAAACUACGAUAGUUUUUCAAAAGUGUGAAAACAAAAUUGCGCUGAGAUGAAAGUUUACAUAAUAUGUUCUGUAAAAUCUUACAACAUUUUAGUCAUGUUCUUUAAUGUAGAACAUUUCAGGUCCUAUAAAAUCGGAUAAUAUUACUAGAAUGUGAACCCCAAAAUUACUCUGAGAUUGAAGAUUGUAAAAAUAUGUUCUAUAAAAUCUUACAACGGUCUAUUCAUUCUAGUUAAUCUUUAAUGCAUAAAUUAAGAACCCUA